rnacentral:rRNA from 1 species
GUGGACGCCAGUCUGCAUGGAGCCGACCUUGAAAUACCACCCUUUAAUGUUUGAUGUUCUAACGUGGACCCGUAAUCCGGGUUGCGGACAGUGUCUGGUGGGUAGUUUGACUGGGGCGGUCUCCUCCUAAAGAGUAACGGAGGAGCACGAAGGUUGGCUAAUCCUGGUCGGACAUCAGGAGGUUAGUGCAAUGGCAUAAGCCAGCUUGACUGCGAGCGUGACGGCGCGAGCAGGUGCGAAAGCAGGUCAUAGUGAUCCGGUGGUUCUGAAUGGAAGGGCCAUCGCUCAACGGAUAAAAGGUACUCCGGGGAUAACAGGCUGAUACCGCCCAAGAGUUCAUAUCGACGGCGGUGUUUGGCACCUCGAUGUCGGCUCAUCACAUCCUGGGGCUGAAGUAGGUCCCAAGGGUAUGGCUGUUCGCCAUUUAAAGUGGUACGCGAGCUGGGUUUAGAACGUCGUGAGACAGUUCGGUCCCUAUCUGCCGUGGGCGCUGGAGAACUGAGGGGGGCUGCUCCUAGUACGAGAGGACCGGAGUGGACGCAUCACUGGUGUU